CAAGACUGAAAUUAAGGAAGCCUUCUUAGCGGUGUCCUUGGCUCUUGCUCUGAAUGGCGUCUGCACAAACACUAUUAAGUUAAUAGUGGGAAGAUGGAGUGAUGAACUCAGAAAUGCACUGCACGGGGGACCCCGAUCUGGUGUCCGAGGGCCGCAAAAGCUUCCCCAGCAUCCAUUCCUC